AGGUGACUAGUUCAUAUUGGUGGGUUAGGUUAGGUUAGGUGACUAGUUCAUACUCAGUUGGUGGGUUAGGUUAGGUUAGGUUAGGUGACUAGUUCAUAUUGGUGGGUUAGGUUAGGUUAGGUGACUAGUUCAUACUCAGUUGGUGGGUUAGGUUAGGUUAGGUUAGGUUAGGUUAGGUGACUAGUUCAUACUCAGUGGGUUAGGUUAGGUUAGGUUAGGUUAGGUGACUAGUUCAUGUUGGUGGGUUAGGUUAGGUUAGGUGACUAGUUCAUACUCAGUUGGUGGGUUAGGUUAGGUUAGGUUAGGUUAGGUGACUAGUUCAUACUCAGUUCACAUUUGCUUGAAAAAUCAUCCUCUGUGGUGGUUCCUAUGAGGGCUUUUUUGACGUCACUGUUGCCUCGUGAUUUAGGUAAUAAUGGUACAGGUAAAAAUGGCACAAGUAGAAAAGGCAAGGAAGAAAUGGCAAGGGUUAGAACAAACAUCAACACAGUCGCUCACUCAUAUUGGAAGCUGUCUCAUAAAUCUGACAAUCACUUAUACGUUUCGACUUGACUGAGUCUGGGAAAUCGAAACUUCUGAGAGCAGUAAAAUCUUUAUGAAACUUUAUGAACCGUUGUAAAUCUUCAUGAACCACAAAACCCUCUAAUGUGGUACUAUCGAACGUGGAUCCUACCCUACAGCCAAGUCACUGUAGCAGUCAAGUAGACACCAUCUCAAUGACCACACCACCACACCAUCGUGGAAAUCAUAGUUAUCAAUAAAUGAAAUGAGAUCUACUUAUAAAGAUACAUUGUGGACAGUGUGGCUGAUUCAUUCCAAGUUUUUUUUAAGCUCCAAACUGACUCAAGAACUAGAAACAACGAUCUACCGAUUCAAGCGAGGCGACACUGAAGUGAUUGAAAUCAAAAUCACUAGAGCUGGCAGACUCGUAAUGAGCCAAUAGGUUCGCUGUUAGCCGUCUUUCCUUGUUUCCAUGUUCCUUCCUACGUAUUUUUCACCAAAUCCUCAUUCUUCCUUUUCUACAUCCCGGAAUCUCCUCCUCUUUCCCUCCUCCUCUUCCUCCUACAUCACACCUACUAAA